AGCGAACGCUGGCGGCAGGCUUAACACAUGCAAGUCGAGCGGCCGUAGCAAUACGGCAGCGGCAGACGGGAGAGUAACACGUGGGAACGUGCCCUUUGGUUCGGAAUAACGCAGGGAAACUUGCGCUAAUACCGAAUAAGCCCUUACGGGAAGAUUUAUCGCCAUUGGAGCGGCCCGCGUCUGAUUAGCUAGUUGGUGGGUAACGGCGUCACCAAGGCGACGAUCAGUAGCNGGUCUGAGAGGAUGAUCAGCCUCACUGGGAC
rnacentral:rRNA from 1 species